GUUUAGAGAGUGAAUGUCUCUGAUACCCCAAUAAAGGUGAGAGUUACAAGGUAAAAGUAGAAGAUGGUGAAAGGUUAUGAUAAAAGUAAAGUUGUAAAGCCUAUUAAAAGGCUUCAUUACCUUAGGAUAGAGGUUCCAACAGGGGCAAUUGUUCCAACAAAUGUGCAAUCUUGGCACAUAGUGAGGGGUUUUGGUACCCUAUGAUGGAUACUACAAAAGAUAGAUGUCCU
rnacentral:misc_RNA from 1 species